GGCAACCCGCUGGGGUCGUCUUCCAUGCGGUAGAAGCUUUGUUCUUUUGCUGUUUGCAAUAAAUCUUGUUGCUGGUCACUGUUUGGGUCCGCACUGCCUUUGUGAGCUGUAACGCUCACCACGAAGGUCUGCGGGUUCACUGCUGAGGCCAGUGAGAGCCCGAGCCCACCAGGAGGAAUGAACAACUCCGGAUGGGAGAAACGAACAACUCCAGAUCCGCCGACUUAAGAGCUGCAACACUCACCGCCAAGCUAUGCAGCUUGACUCCUGAAGCCAGCGAGACCACGAACCCAUCAGAAGAAAAACUGUGAACACACCCGAGGAAUAAACUCCGGACACACCAUCUUUAAGAAUUGUAACACUCACCACGAGGGUCCACGGCUUCAUUCUUGAGGUCCUGCUCUUUUCCUCUUGACAGCAAGCUACCACUGUUUAGAGAGAGUCUCCUGUUGUCUUCGUCCUGAGGCUUCUUCCAUCUGCACGGAGGUUCCGAAGCGUUUAUGACAUAUCAAUCCCUCUACCAUCAGGCACACAUUUCACUGUUUUGGGAGAAGGCCUUUGGACUGAAGCUGGAAUCACUGCUGCUCCGUGGGUGCUUGUCAUGGCUCCUGUGGAUGGGAACCCGCUAGGCUUCUAGGCUCUGCAUGGGUUUGUCUUUUUGAAUAAAUUGAGCAAUUGAAUUAUU